rnacentral:lncRNA from 1 species
GAAUUACAAAUAUGUAAUCUACAGGAGGUAUCUAAUAUCCAAAUAUCAGAGUCUAAACCACUCAAUGAAAAAUAGGUCUGUAUCAUAUACACACCUUUGCUUGCAAGUCACCGUGGCGGUCUCAGGUCGGAAGGAUAUUAUACCCAUAUCCCAUCGGAGCAAAUCUUGACAGUAGAAAAAGCUUCAGAGUCGGUCACGUUCAGUGCAGAUGUACCCUUACAUCUCACCUGUAUGCCAUACUAGUGUCUCCACACUCUUUGGUUAAGAAGACAACCAACCCAUAUGGCACACAACAACCUAUGCUUGAUAAACAUUAUUGUCCUUGGUAACAUUUGGUCGCGAACAGGUUUAAGGACUAAACGACAAAUCCUCCUUUGUCGAGUCUAAAUACUCCUAAGGACUUCACCACAACACAGGAGUUCAUUAGAAGA